UGGGGCGAGAGGAGAUUGCUCGGGCUAACCCCGUGAUCAAAGCAGAGAAGCUGCGGAGGAUAUGAUUCGAUCUCAUCCGUCCGAUGGGACCGGAGUUUGAUGAUUUGAUAACAAGCGUCCACGUGUACUGCGAGGGAGGGAGAGAGAGAUGUCGUUAUGUAUGAUGUUAUGAAUAUGAUGAUGAUGAUGAUGAUGAUCUGUCUUCAAUGUUAAGAUAAAACUUAAAUAGUCGGUUUGUCUCGUAUAGAAGGGAUUGAAAUGAAUAAGUCAUAUUUUUAUUUGGCUUUGUAAAAUGGGAGAAAAAAGAAAAAAAAAAAAACAGCACUCAGAUUAAAAUUUGUAGGUCCACCACCGUCAGUAGUGGUUGAAAUGAUUUGUGAUUAGAGUCUCC
rnacentral:lncRNA from 1 species